UUCACCUGCCGAAUCAACUAGCCCUGAAAAUGGAUGGCGCUGGAGCGUCGGGCCCACACCCGGCCGUCGCAGGCGACGAGAGCCGCGAGGGCUACGCCGCGACGAGUAGGAGGGCCGCCGCGGUGAGCAUGGAAGC
rnacentral:rRNA from 1 species